AAGACUGGGAUAACUACCGGAAACGGUAGCUAAUACCGGAUAAUCUCUUUCCUCUCCUGAGGGAAGAAUGAAAGGCGGAGCAAUCUGCCACUUGGGGAUGGGCCUGCGGCGCAUUAGCUAGUUGGCGGGGUAACGGCCCACCAAGGCGACGAUGCGUAGCCGACCUGAGAGGGUGAACGGCCACACUGGGACUGAGACACGGCCCAGACUCCUACGGGAGGCAGCAGUAGGGAAUCUUCCGCAAUGGGCGCAAGCCUGACGGAGCAACGCCGCGUGAGUGAUGAAGGUUUUCGGAUCGUAAAGCUCUGUUGCCAGGGAAGAACGUCCGGUAGAGUAACUGCUGCCGGAGUGACGGUACCUGAGAAGAAAGCCCCGGCUAACUACGUGCCAGCAGCCGCGGUAAUACGUAGGGGGCAAGCGUUGUCCGGAAUUAUUGGGCGUAAAGCGCGCGCAGGCGGCUAUUUAAGUCUGGUGUUUAAACCUUGGGCUCAACCCUGGGGUCGCACUGGAAACUGGGUGGCUUGAGUACAGAAGAGGAAAGUGGGAAUUCCACGUGUAGCGGUGAAAUGCGUAGAGAUGUGGAGGAACACCAGUGGCGAAAGCGACUUUCUGGGCUGUAACUGACGCUGAGGCGCGAAAGCGUGUGGGAGCAAACACGAUUAGAUACCCUGGUAGUCCACGCCGUAACGAUGAGUGCUA
rnacentral:rRNA from 1 species